rnacentral:rRNA from 1 species
UACGAAGGGGGCUAGCGUUGUUCGGAAUCACUGGGCGUAAAGGGUGCGUAGGCGGGAUCUUAAGUCAGGGGUGAAAUCCCGAGGCUCAACCUCGGAACUGCCUUUGAUACUGGGGUCCUUGAGUCCGGAAGAGGUGAGUGGAACUGCGAGUGUAGAGGUGAAAUUCGUAGAUAUUCGCAAGAACACCGGUGGCGAAGGCGGCUCACUGGUCCGGAACUGACGCUCAUGCACGACAGCGUGGGGAUCAAACAGG